GCAAUAGGGUAAGUCCCUAUGAUUGGUGUCCUUGUCAUGUGAAGAGAGGAAUUUCCAGAAGGAAGACAGUGUGAAGAUGCAGAAUGGAGAUACUGUGUGACUUUUCCUGAGGAAACAAAGAAAUAUCUGCCCCCAGGUAGAGAGAGCAUCAACAGACCAAAGGAUUCCAUUCAAGUCAUUGGGAAUGUCAAUAGGCGUGGUCAUCUCAGGAGGGUCUCAAGUGCUUCAUCACAGCCAUUCUGAUUUAAGAUUACUGGGGAAUGACUCCAGGGCUUCAAGCAUGCACACCUCCAGCCAUCAACUCCUUUCAAUGCCACUUGAGUUCUUUGCCCAGGACUUCACCCUCUCUUCUAUCUCUCCAGUCGAUUCUUCUGCCAGCAUCCAAAAGACUUUCCUCAUUAGAAGACAAUCCUUGAACUCUAUGGAACAACUGUGUAUAGUCCAGGAGGAAAGUGGUGGAGAUGUAAUGGAUCCAGGGGGAUACCGAUCUUAGGUAUUUGGCUUAGAAAUUGAUUUGAAGGCUGUUGAAGGACUGCCAGAGACAUCUGUGGCUCAGCUCCUGCAAUCUGCCGGACCUUAACUUGUGUUUUAUGUGCUAACCUUACAAGCUUCAUUCUGUUCUGAGUUCCUUACUUGCUAUCCAAGCGGAUUGUUUAGUUGGUAGGCAAAAUGCUCCCAAAUUAGCUUUCCUUGAAGAAGAGCAAGACCUCAUCUGGAGAGAUGGCUCAGUGGGUCAAAAGCACAUGCCACCAAGCUUGAGGACCUCAGUUUGAUUCCUGAGAUUCAUACUGUAGAAGGAGAGAAUGGAUUCCUCUGACCUCUACAUAUGUCCUGGUGUGUGUGUGUGUGUGUGUGUGUGUGUGUGUGUGUGUGUGUACAUGAACACGCAUGCAUGCUCUUGCAAGCAUAAAUAAAUGUUAAUAAAAACUAAAGAUUA